rnacentral:piRNA from 1 species
UAACACAUGCCGCAGUUUUGACUG